GCGGCGUGAAUCGGAAGAGCUGACCCCACCCACCCGACCCCCCGCACACAACCUUGCCAGCUCCUCGGGCCAGAGCGAGAUCCUGGAGAAAUAUGGCUACAGGAGAAAUGGGAACACUUAGGAAAUGACCAGAUUUCUCAGAAGCAAAACAGUAUACCUGAGGACGUCACCCUUAUUUUUAGCAGCUGUGCCAUAUUUCUGGGUCAUGAGCUUCAAAGGGCAGGACUCAACAUCUCCAUAUCCCAAGAGCCCAGCAUAUCAUAGACCCUCAGUCAGUGUCUGCCGAAUGAAUGAAUGCACGUCUGCCAAUUACAUCUGGGGGCGGGGCACAGCCAGCAGGUGUGCUGAUGUGAUGUGUAAGGGGUGAGGGGCUGCAGGCAAGUUACAGCCCCAGCCACGGCUCUGAGGGCCAGGAGGCACUUCGAGACCUGGAUGGUGCUGUGGGGCUCUGGACAUGAGUUCUCAUCUGCUCCAACGUUCUUUUUCUUUGGAAUUAAAACCCAAGAUAUGACCUAGGACAUCCAUUCGACCCCUAAGCUUGUAGCCUGCUUGAUACCAGCUAAUUUCUAUAGCAACUGAGCUCUGUUUGGGAAAAAUAUUUUCUUCUCUUUCCAUGAUAUGACUUCCAUUUCUACAAAUGCCGUGCAAGUAGCCAGAUAUGGAGGUUCAUUUUUUAAAUGACAACAGCAAUCAUUUAUUGACUGAGUGCUGUGUACCAGGAACCCACACUACAUGCUGUACCUAGAUGACUUGCCCAAGGUCCCCCAGCUUACAUGGUUAAGGCCAGAAUUUAACCACAGGACAGAAUCUAUCCACUAUUCCUAACAACAAAAGAAAGCUCCUUUUAGACUGGGGUGAGAGAUGGGGGCAAGAGAAAACAUGUCUAUUUCUCAAUAGGAGCAUUAUUCCUAGGGCUGUACUGUCCAAUAGCCACGUGUGGCUCUUUACAUUGAAAUUAACUAAAAUAAAAUAAAAUGGAAAAUUCAUGUUUUCUGAGGUCCUCCACCCCACCAGCCACAGUUAAGUGCUCCACAACCACACGUGGCUGGUGGCCACGACAUUGUGGGGCACAGAUAUGGAACAUUUCAUCAUCACAGAAACUUCUGGAUGGUACUGGUCUAGGGCCCCUCCCCCUCCAGAACUGAGAGACUGGUCUCUUUUUAACCCAAAGAUCAACCUAUGCUGGGAUCAUUCAUUUCCGUCUAUCUGCUGGGAUCAUGUAAAAGCCUACUGUUUUCAGCCCCAAGGACUCCUCUUGCCAAAAGGUCAAGGCUAUUUCUUUAGCAAACCCAAACUACUUUAAAAAAGAAAAAGUAAAAAGCUCAGCAGAGGCUCCACUUCUGCCAGGCACUCCCUGCCAAGUCCCUGCUGGUCCUCCUCUCUCCCCUGGUUCAGGGACCUCUCCCUGGCGGCUCGCUGGGGCUGGGCAGUAGGGAACCACACUCUCCCAAGAAGGCUGCCAUCUGGCUGGCUGAGUCGAAGCUCAUGCUGCUUGCCAAGGACAAGCAUUUGCCCAGUACCUAAGGCAUUUGUCAUAACUCCCAGCCUGCUCCUAACAAAGGACACAAGGAUGCUGCAGGCAGUUCCUGGAACCCCACCCCACCAAGCUCAUCCGGUGUGUUGGAAGCUUGGCCCCGGGUCCCCACUGUAGACUUGCACUUACAUGGUUGUGGAUAGGCUAUAAAGAAGUCUUUGAAGAUCCUGACUUAUUUACUCAAGGUUGUUUUCUGUUCCCCCUUGCAAGCCUUUAAUCUCAGCAUGCUCUGGAACAUUUUGAACUAUAAAACACGAGGCCAGGUCUGACCUUGUCUUUGAUUUUACGGCAUGCCUCUUCCUAAAUUUUCUCUAACCUAGUUUGAUUAUUUUUAAAUGAAAGGGAAUUAAAAAUUGAAGCUGAUGAUGCCAGACCUCCCUCGGAGAGGCCUGAACCUUGCAAAGGUGGAAGAAGUUUAGGCUAACAGGAAGUCUAAGACCUACCACCCACUUGCAAGGGGACUUGGUGAACUAGUCCCACCCUCCCCACCUCCUCCCCUAUAUCGCUGUCCUGCCCAGUUCACAGCUCCCAGUGAGAUGGCAAAUAAGAAAACCUUGUCGGGAGAGCCGGGGCUGGGGAUAAUUUGUUGAAGAAUUAACUGUAUAUAGAUUGUUCCAAGCUAUGUAUCAAAAUGAACUCCUCGAGGGCAGGGACUGUGACUGCUGUAGACUGAACUGUGUUCCCCAAAUUUGUAUAUUGAAUUCCUGACCCCCAGUAUGAUGGCAUCUGGAGAUGGAGCCUUUGGGAGGCAAUUAGGGAUUAGGUUUAGACAAAGUAGCUCCAAUACUUAGGUCACCUGAUGUGAAGAGCCGACUCAUUAGAAAAGACCCUGAUGGUGGGAAAGAUUGAAGGCAGGAGGGGAAAGGGACAACAGAGGAUGAGAUGGUUGAAUGGC